rnacentral:rRNA from 1 species
AGUCCUACGGGAGGCAGCAGUGAGGAAUAUUGGUCAAUGGCCGCAGGGCUGAACCAGCCAAGUCGCGUGAGGGAUGACGGUCCUAUGGAUUGUAAACCUCUUUUGUCAGGGAGCAAAGGGCGCCACGUGUGGCGUUUUGCGAGUACCUGAAGAAAAAGCAUCGGCUAACUCCGUGCCAGCAGCCGCGGUAAUACGGAGGAUGCGAGCGUUAUCCGGAUUUAUUGGGUUUAAAGGGUGCGCAGGCGGAAUGUCAAGUCAGCGGUAAAAUUUCGGAGCUCAACCUCUUCGAGCCGUUGAAACUGGUU